rnacentral:rRNA from 1 species
GACGAAUGCUGGCGGCGUGCUUAACACAUGCAAGUCGAACGGAAAGGCCCUGCUUUUGUGGGGUGCUCGAGUGGCGAACGGGUGAGUAACACGUGAGUAACCUGCCCUUGACUUUGGGAUAACUUCAGGAAACUGGGGCUAAUACCGGAUAGGAGCUCCUGCUGCAUGGUGGGGGUUGGAAAGUUUCGGCGGUUGGGGAUGGACUCGCGGCUUAUCAGCUUGUUGGUGGGGUAGUGGCUUACCAAGGCUUUGACGGGUAGCCGGCCUGAGAGGGUGACCGGCCACAUGGGUACUGAGGGACGGCCCAGACUCCUACGGGAGGCAGCAGUGGGGAAUAUUGCACAAUGGGCGGAAGCCUGAUGCAGCAACGCCGCGUGCGGGAUGACGGCCUUCGGGUUGUAAACCGCUUUCGCCUGUGACGAAGCGUGAGUGACGGUAAUGGGUAAAGAAGCACCGGCUAACUACGUG